GGUGAACGCUGGCGGCGUGCCUAAUACAUGCAAGUCGAGCGAACAGACGAGGAGCUUGCUCCUCUGACGUUAGCGGCGGACGGGUGAGUAACACGUGGAUAACCUACCUAUAAGACUGGGAUAACUUCGGGAAACCGGAGCCAAUACCGGAUAAUAUAUUGAACCGCAUGGUUCAAUAGUGAAAGACGGUUUUGCUGUCACUUAUAGAUGGAUCCGCGCCGCAUUAGCUAGUUGGUAAGGUAACGGCUUACCAAGGCGACGAUGCGUAGCCGACCUGAGAGGGUGAUCGGCCACACUGGAACUGAGACACGGUCCAGACUCCUACGGGAGGCAGCAGUAGGGAAUCUUCCGCAAUGGGCGAAAGCCUGUCGGAGCAACGCCGCGUGAGUGAUGAAGGUCUUCGGAUCGUAAAACUCUGUUAUUAGGGAAGAACAAAUGUGUAAGUAACUAUGCACGUCUUGACGGUACCUAAUCAGAAAGCCACGGCUAACUACGUG
rnacentral:rRNA from 1 species